CUAGCCUUGCAAAUGAGAUGAAUACCCAAGAGACCGGUCUUGAGAUGGAGCCACAGGAAAGUCUUUUGCAAAAUAAUACAGUUGGUGAUAGUAUUAUAGAUGCAAAAACAGACGAUUGGACCGAAUUUAAGGAUCCGGCACUUUGGAAGGAUGGUCAAAAUUUUGUGCAAAUUCUUUUGGAUAACUGGACCGAACAAAUUCUUGAUAAAAUUGACUUUUCAAUGUCUAAAAGAAAACAUGGGGACCAAAAUAGUCAGUGUGGACUCAACACCCGAUAUAUCACAUCAGGAUCAGCUAACAAUAAUUUUAAGGUAUUGCAAUAGUAAAGGGCUUCCAUUUGAAAGGUUUAUAGGAUUCUAUGAUAACAUUGGGCAUGGGGCACAAGAGCUUGAGCAGUGCGUCAUGGAUAUGCUAAAGACAUUUAAUUUGGACAUUCAAAAUUGCAGGGGUCAGUCAUAUGACAACGCAAGCAA